UAUUAUUAAGUCAAAAAAUGAAAAAACAAAAGCCAACUCAUCGGGAGAUGAGUUCUUCAAGUAGGGGAGUUUGAUGUAUGCAAGGGGGGGGGGGUCAACACAAGCAUUGGCUGUUUUCGGUUUGAGCUUAUGUAGUUGAAACUCUAGUGGUGCCAGCUCAUUAAUAUCUAGUGGAGGAGUAGCUCAUUAUGAGCUGAUGUUUAGCUCUAAAUUCAUUAUGAGGUGUAAGAUAUUAGGUGAGUGGAACUUGUCUCUUCCUCUUCCUUUGCCUCUUGAGCUGCUGCAUUAUUUUUCCCUCUUUAGGCUGUUGGAACCGUGGCCUUCAUGGUGCUUUAAUGGUGGCUGUUGGUUUCUUGUGCUUGGCUGUUGGAACCGAAAUUCCCUCCUUGGAUUUGCUGUGCCGUUUGGGGUUUCACUGUGCUGGAACCGUGGCCACCUUUUGGAGAUUUGAGGUGCCGGUUGGAAUUUCUGAACCUGUGCUGAAAUCGUAGCUUUUUUCCUGGCUGAAACUGUGGAUUUUGCUGGCUGGUUUCGUGGCUUUUUUUUGCUUUUUCAGCUGCUGUUUUGGGCUUUUUGGCUUCUGAUUUUGAACAGCCAGCUGGCCCUCAUUGAUGGCUUUUUGUGGGCUGCUGUUUGGGAGGAUUUCCAUGGAUCUUUCCACUGUUUUCAAUGCAAUUUUCCUGCAGAAUUUGUGCUGUCUUUUGGUCUUCUAUUUGGUGACUUAUGGCCUUCUAUAUUCUUAUUUUAAUGAGAUUAAUUAGUGGUUUUAAAGGGCUGUUUGGCUGCCCUCUUUGAUCUUAUAAGUAGGAGUUGUUUUGGAAAUGUUAAAAAAAGAUGAUGUGAGUUAUUUUUGGAGAGAAAACCUGAGAGGUUUUUGGUUUUGGAAAUCCUGCGGGCUCUUUCCAACCUUCGUCUCGUCUCCUAAUCUCUUUCUUCUAUCCGCAAGUGUCACCUCACCUGUAUCCCUCUUCUCAAAGUAAGCAAGUUUAGGGUGUCAUUUUGUUGGUGUCAAAGUUUGUAAGCGUCCAAAUUGUAAGUGUCAUUUGAGUCAAAAGUUUGUAAGUCGUUUUAUUAUAUAAAGUUGUGUUUUAUAGU